UACGUAGGGUCCGAGCGCUGCUCGGAAUCACUGGGCGUAAAUCGCACGUAGGCGGCUUUUUAAGUCAGGGGUGAAAUCCUGGAGCUCAACUCCAGAACUGCCUUUGAUACUGAGAAGCUUGAGUCCGGGAGAGGUGAGUGGAACUGCGAGUGUAGAGGUGAAAUUCGUAGAUAUUCGCAAGAACACCAGUGGCGAAGGCGGCUCACUGGCCCGGUACUGACGCUGAGGUGCGAAAGCGUGGGGAGCAAACAGG
rnacentral:rRNA from 1 species